rnacentral:rRNA from 1 species
GAUGAACGCUGGCGGAAUGCUUUACACAUGCAAGUCGAACGGCAGCACGGGUGCUUGCACCUGGUGGCGAGUGGCGAACGGGUGAGUAAUGCACCGGAACGUAUCCAAUAAUGGGGGAUAACGCACCGAAAGGUGUGCUAAUACCGCAUACGCCCUGAGGGGGAAAGCGGGGGAUCGUAAGACCUCGCGUUAAUGGAGCGGCCGAUGCCGGAUUAGCUAGUUGGUGAGGUAAAGGCUCACCAAGGCGACGAUCCGUAGCUGGUCUGAGAGGACGACCAGCCACACUGGAACUGAGACACGGUCCAGACUCCUACGGGAGGCAGCAGUGGGGAAUUUUGGACAAUGGGCGCAAGCCUGAUCCAGCCAUUCCGCGUGAGUGAAGAA